GACUAUACUUCAGAGUUUGAUCCUGGCUCAGGAUGAACGCUGACAGAAUGCUUAACACAUGCAAGUCGACUCGAGUCUUCGGACUUGGGUGGCGCACGGGUGAGUAACGCGUAAAGAACCUGCCUCAUAGACUGGGACAACUACUGGAAACGGUAGCUAAUACCGGAUAAUAUUUAAAAUCGCAUGGAGAUAAAUUAAAAGUCGGUGCAAGCUGACACUAUGAGAUGGCUUUGCGGUGCAUUAGCUAGUUGGUAGGGUAAAGGCCUACCAAGGCGACGAUGCAUAGCCGACCUGAGAGGGUGAUCGGCCACACUGGGACUGAGACACGGCCCAG
rnacentral:rRNA from 1 species